UACGAAGGGGGCUAGCGUUGCUCGGAAUCACUGGGCGUAAAGCGCACGUAGGCGGAUUGUUAAGUCAGGGGUGAAAUCCUGGAGCUCAACUCCAGAACUGCCUUUGAUACUGGCGAUCUUGAGUCCGGGAGAGGGAUGUGGAAUUCCAGGUGUAGCGGUGAAAUGCGUAGAUAUCUGGAAGGAACACCGGUGGCGAAGGCGGUCUGGCUGGGCAGUUGCUGGACACUUG
rnacentral:rRNA from 1 species